AAAAUCCGUCGACUUUAAAAAUCGUGAGGGUUCAAGUCCCUCUAUCCACA
rnacentral:tRNA from 1 species